rnacentral:rRNA from 1 species
CUAGGGCUACACACGUGCUACAAUGGCAUAUACAAAGAGAAGCGACCUCGCGAGAGCAAGCGGACCUCAUAAAGUAUGUCGUAGUCCGGAUUGGAGUCUGCAACUCGACUCCAUGAAGUCGGAAUCGCUAGUAAUCGUAGAUCAGAAUGCUACGGUGAAUACGUUCCCGGGCCUU